rnacentral:rRNA from 1 species
UACGAAGGGGGCUAGCGUUGCUCGGAAUGACUGGGCGUAAAGGGCGCGUAGGCGGCGCACUUAGUCAGGCGUGAAAGUCCUGGGCUCAACCUGGGGACGGCGCUUGAUACGGGUGUGCUUGAGUGUGGAAGAGGGUCGUGGAAUUCCCAGUGUAGAGGUGAAAUUCGUAGAUAUUGGGAAGAACACCGGUGGCGAAGGCGGCGACCUGGUCCAUUACUGACGCUGAGGCGCGAAAGCGUGGGGAGCAAAC